AACGAACGCUGGCGGCGUGCCUAACACAUGCAAGUCGAACGCGAACGGGUCUUCGGACCCUAGUAGAGUGGCGCACGGGUGAGUAACACGUGGGCAAUCUACCCAGGGAUUUGGGAUAACCAGGGGAAACCCUGGCUAAUACCGAAUACGUCCAUGAGGCCUUCGGUCCUCAUGGAGAAAGGUGGCCUCUUCUCGAAAGCUGCCGUUCCUGGAUGAGCCCGCGGACCAUUAGCUUGUUGGUGAGGUAACGGCUCACCAAGGCCAUGAUGGUUAGCUGGUCUGAGAGGAUGAUCAGCCACACUGGGACUGACACACGGCCCAGACUCCUACGGGAGGCAGCAGUGGGGAAUCUUGCGCAAUGGGGGAAACCCUGACGCAGCAACGCCGCGUGGGUGAUGAAGGCCCUGGGUCGUAAAGCCCUGUCUGGAGGAAAGAAUCCCGCUCUCGCUAAUACCGGGAGUGGAUGACGGUACCUCUGAAGGAAGCACCGGCUAACUCCGUGCCAG
rnacentral:rRNA from 1 species